rnacentral:rRNA from 1 species
UGGGGAAUAUUGCACAAUGGAGGGAACUCUGAUGCAGCGACGCCGCGUGAACGAAGAAGGCUUUCGAGUCGUAAAGUUCUUUUAUAUGGGAAGAUAAUGACGGUACCAUAAGAAGAAGCCCCGGCUAACUACGUGCCAGCAGCCGCGGUAAUACGUAGGGGGCUAGCGUUGUCCGGAAUCACUGGGCGUAAAGGGUUCGCAGGCGGAAAUGCAAGUCAGGUGUAAAAGGCAGUAGCUUAACUACUGUAAGCAUUUGAAACUGCAUAUCUUGAGAAGAGUAGAGGUAAGAGGAAUUUUUAGUGUAGCGGUGAAAUGCGUAGAUAUUAAAAAGAAUACCGGUGGCGAAGGCGACUUACUGGGCUCAUUCUGACGCUGAGGAACGAAAGCGUGGGUAGCAAACAGG